AACGCAUAUUGCACCCAAGUGGGAAACUACAGGGUAUACUUGCCUGAGAAUAUGUAUGUGUGAAUAAUCAAUCGAUAUUUUCGUUUUGAUUAGUAUUGAGGAGUUCGAAUUUUUUUUUAAAAGAAAAGUUCGUCCCUUUAAAUUAAUUUGGGAAAAGGAUAUAUAAAAAGGAAUAACUAAAAAGGAAGCAUUGUUGAUUACUCCAUUAUCGAUGGAUUAUUUUUAUGCGAUCCUGAAAUUAGUUUUUUUCUUCUAUCAUCUUCAUAAUCUCAGUUUAAGUAAGACUACCCGCUGAACUUAA
rnacentral:misc_RNA from 1 species